ensembl:lncRNA
AAAAAGAAAAAUCACAAUGUGUGCCUGCUUUUUUAUAUCAUCAUACCCUGAAAGACUUGUUUCAAAUGAUUUUUAUAAUCAUAGCGAUGAAUAUUGCAGAAUUAAAUUUGCUCUCUGCUUCACAGCUCCAAAAGCAAAGGCAGCGGCUGUCAACAUACCCAAAACGAGAAGUAAAUCCACAUGAUCUGAUCAUACUUUACUUCUUUAAAGGGAUAGUUCAUCCAUAAAUAAAAGUUCUGCCAUCAUAUUCACCCUCAUGUCGCUAACUCAUGUGACUUUCUUUCUUCAAAGAAGAUACUUUGCUGAAUGUUCACACACUCUUUUCCACAUAAUGUACAUGAAUGGCAACGAGAGACUAUCAAGCUCUAAAAAUUACAAAAAAAGCACCAUAAAAAAAGUGGUACAUAUAAAUUAUGAGCGAUAUUCCAAAUCCAAAGAUCCAAGUCCAAAUCAAAGAUUUCAAAUCUGGAAAAUUAAAUAUGCACAUAUUCAAAUCACACAAAUUCAAACUACCAUGGAGAGGAGGAUUUUGAGUGGCAAACAACUUAUGAAAAUAUGAUUUUAGAUACUGGGCACAGCAUGAACAUCCUGCUUGACAUCUUCUUUUGUGUUCUACAGAAGAAAGAAAUUAUACAGGUUUUGAUCAAUGAGUGAAUGAUGACAGAUUUUUCAUUUUUGGCUCAACUGUUGAUGCCAAAUUUGAAAUUCCGUUUGAUCUAACUAUAUGACAGCGGUGCUUUCCCUUCUCCUAAUAACAGGAUCUCGAGCCUCAGAGGACAUGGAAGUGUCAGCUGCUCCAGCUCCGAUACAGGAUCUUCCUAUGUGCCGACCAACACCUGUGUACUGCCCAGCGCCACCUGGCUGGUAUGUGCAUCAUAUAGUAACAAGUAGCCCAUUACCACCAUCGGCUAUUCCAGAAUCAGAAGUUCCGAUUUUAACAACUCAUCAAGCUCCUACUUUACUGAAAGAACCAGAAGCUGUUAAGGCAAAGCCAAAACAAGCCACUAAAAAGAAAGAACCAGCUGCGGCAAAAGAAAAAGCCAAAGCAGGUCCUGCGAAGAAGGAGCCCACAGUUACUAAAGCCAAAGUAAAACCUGCAGUGGCAAAGAAAGGGCCAAUCGCUGUGAAAGAGAGGUCUAAAAGGACAGAGCGAGUGAUCACUAAAGAAAAGGCAAAACCUACCUCUACUAAGAAAGAUCCAGCAGUAACAAAGGCGGCAAGAGUAACAACAACCUCACAUAAAGAAGAGAAAGCUAUAAAGGAAGUGAAGCCCAAAGCAGAGGUCAAGAAAAAGGCCGCAUCAACACCAAAAGCCAAACAAGCUAUUAAAGUUGUGGGAAAACCUGUUCCAGAUGAGAAGAAAACGGCAGAAGAAACAAAAGAGAAAGCAGCCGAGGCACCAGCACCAGCAAAAAUUGGGAGAGCUUCAAAAACUUCCAGGCAACUCUGAGAAGAUCUGAAACCAGAGGAAAAUGUCACAGAAGGCAAAAAGCCAG